UAUUAAAAACAAAAGGAACAUGCUGAAAUGUGAGUGAGUAAGAAUCAUUUGUUUGGGAUUCUCUAAAAGCUACAAUGAAUCGCUGUGGCUCAAUUGCUUAGCAACCAAAGCAACCCACGUUUUUUUUUUUUUUUCUGGAAAAUGAGCUUAAUGUGACCAAAAACUUGAAGAGGGAUAUUGAGAAAACUGUAAAAGAUAAGAAAAAUCUGAAUUAUGCAGUAGUAGCCAAAGGGCAAGACUACAUUAAAAACUUUGAAUGCUGUUUCUAAAUUAAAGUACAUGGAAGCCCUUUUGGCUGUAAAAGGCUCUGGCAGAAUUUGAGAUGUUCCAUUUAUUUCAAGGUGACCAGAAAUGAUCACAGAAAGUUUAAUAUUUCAUAGAAUGUAGCAGAUAUCAUUACCAAAAGUCAGGGCCAGAAUUUUCUGAAUGAGCAGAACGUUUUAGAAAUGUAAAUAGCACAAAAACGCUAAAAGUCCAAAAAUUAGCAACCAGAAAAAUCGGAUGCCUCACAGCAUUCACAUAAUAAAAGCAACAUGUCGAUGAUAAUCGAGUUGUCGUCAUACCGGUUGUUAACUGGCUCGGCAGAGCUGCUUCUACAUUUGAGCAAGAGUCUGGGUCAUUCCUAUUUUUUGGGUCAAAAGAAGCUGGAAAGUUUGGGCCUGGCUGUUAUAAAUAAACUAUACCGUGUCGUAGCCUCGCCCCCACCAUACCGAAUGCAUUUCAGCUGCUCUGAAACACAAGACCAGGACGGUUUUCACAUCACUGCUGGUUUCACUCAGAGAGGCCAUAUGUUUCCACCUCAGGCGAGCGCCAACAACGCUGCACUCAGCAGUUCUUGGAGCGGCGCAGGCUACCAAGGCGAGCACAAACAGAAUGAAAAAAAAAGUAUACGUUAUGCAAGACUGACAAUAUCUACUUUAAAAGGCCCAAGUUUUUCCACCUAAACGUGUCGGUUUCAUACAGACUCCCACAACGAGGAGCUUCCCUGGAGAGCUUUUGAGGACGGCGUCCUGUUUGAGACCCGAGCCCUGACCAUCCCUUCACCGAGCGCAAAACCAGCAAGUUGCUGAGCAGCUGGGGAGUCCGACCACGACACCGAGCGUUUUCACACUCGACGGCUGUUUGGCAGCCAGAGCCACAGCAGCGCGUGACUCACCGAGAGGUGGGCUGAGUGGGACGAGGGCUGACCGUCUCCUCGGCGGGCGACUUCAGGCCAGAGGGAGAGAGGAACGGUGAUUACAUCUAGUUAAAAUCUCCCUGUGCUCCAUUAUAAUUACUACACCUCCUUGCAGCGCCUCGUCUGCUCAACGUUUUCACUUCAGGAGCACAAACUCGACGCACAGCUGCCAAGUUUGUGGCAGAAUAUGACACAAAGUGUUCAAAAAUGGUCUUUACCAGACUCUGGACAUUGAGAGAUUAGAUCAGCUUAGCUAUUGAUCUUGGCUUAAAGGAAGUCGGCGUUUCGGCAGUUUUGUAGUUUUCUAGAAGUUUGUUCCAGAUUUGUGGAGCGUAAAUACCAAACGGAACCUCUCCAUGUUCUGGUUCUGCAGUCUUGAGCCAGAAGCUCGCCUAACUCCACCUGAUCCGUCAUUCUGCUGACAUUUCUCUACUCCUCUUUCUUUUCUGUGGGUUUUUUUUGGGAAACUUCAAGGCCUCCCGGGUCUCACUCGGACUCCAGACUAAUCCCGCCAAUUCCCCCACGGCCAACGACCUCCGACUCUCCUCCUUCCUCUGAGCGCCUUGAUCUCCAGCUUCACGUUUGAUUCAACCCACUCGCUUCUUUGCGCUUUGGUUUCCUUCGCUCUCUCCUCCCCAUAUUUUCUUUCCACCUGACACCUCGCCUUGGCUGACCGGUCAACGUCCAUCGUUCUGUGCAAACAAAACCGCCAGGUUCCCGCGCCAACAACAACCGUUAAAAGUCUCCAAUGCCAGAUUUUUACCGCUCUGGCCCGACUGGCAGAGAUGGAGGAGGUGUUAGAAAGUGAGCGAGGACGUCUGCAGGUGAGUAAGGCUUCGCUAAAGUGGAGACCUGACCGUCGGAGUGUUAGAGGAGAGCAGGACAGCAGCGUAGAGACAAAAAGCUUCAUUAGGAAGAACUGAGCCUGCGGGGGAUAAACAGCGAAGCCUCUUACACAUCAAAGCAAUCAGCCACGCUAGCUUACGGGGGUUUUAAAGUCGAAACCCAGACCGAGUCUGGGCCAGAACUGGGUUGUGGGAAGAGCCUGAUUAAAAAUACAUCACAAAGCGUCUGCGCUGCGGAGACGACAAGCAGGCUGAGAGCUCUGGGCCCGACAACGCUGACCUACAUGCGCCGAGGCGAAGCCGAGCCACCGAACAGGAGCGGCGCUGAGGAGGAGCCGGAAAUAAUCCCGUCGUCUUCUCCGUUCUGCUGCCGCUGCGGAUGCAGAUCAAAAAAGCAGGAAGCGGACGAUAGCUCGUGGCAUUCUGGGUAAAUACAACCAAAACAACUGAGAGAGCCUAGUGCUGUGGCUCUUGGAGCAGCGCCACCACAGGCGAGGAGGCGAACAGGUGAAAGGCUUGGUUUGGUUGACAGUGCGGUGGGAACGCCAAGCGCACUAGCUGAAAAUGUAACAAACGUUGCAAUUUCUGUCUCCAGUCUAGCAGGUGUGAAAACACCCUCAGAUUUUAACUUUUUGUUUUGAACUCUUCGUAGAACAAACAUCUGUUUACCCACAACACCUUCCUGACGGGGGGAGAUUAGCUAACGCAGUGCUGCCAGCAACACCUCGUUCUCCUUCUACAGAUGACACACUCUGCCCUGUCUUUCAGUGUUUAACCGUCUCUCCUCGGCAAAACCAUUGGCCGAGUCUUUACUGUGACUAACUACAUAGACUCUUUCAUUCUGCUGCUUUUAAAACCAGCUCGGAGCUUUUUUUCUGUUUUGCUGUGUUGCUCAGCUACAUGAAGCCACUAAUGUAGCUGACUUUUGGAUUGGUGCGUCUGCGCGUACAGUACAGAACUAAAGUUUGGACACAACUGUGUGUCCAAACUUUUGGUCUGUACUGUACGCGCUCAAAUUCCCAGUCGGUUGUAGCAGGCGGCCACAACACGAUCCAAAUGAUUCUCUCUUGAUGCUCGUCCAGGAGGAGUGACAGCCGUACGUCGGUGGCUCUGCUGGGUUUUCUCAGAUAGAGAACUCGUGCUGUACUUGCUAUAAAGUAGCUCGGGUUGGUUCCU